rnacentral:rRNA from 1 species
CUGACGAGCGGCGGACGGGUGAGUAAUGCAUAGGAAUCUGCCCGAUAGUGGGGGAUAACCUGGGGAAACCCAGGCUAAUACCGCAUACGUCCUACGGGAGAAAGGGGGCUUCGGCUCCCGCUAUUGGAUGAGCCUAUGUCGGAUUAGCUAGUUGGUGAGGUAAUGGCUCACCAAGGCAACGAUCCGUAGCUGGUCUGAGAGGAUGAUCAGCCACAUCGGGACUGAGACACGGCCCGAACUCCUACGGGAGGCAGCAGUGGGGAAUAUUGGACAAUGGGCGAAAGCCUGAUCCAGCCAUGCCGCGUGUGUGAAGAAGGCCCUCGGGUUGUAAAGCACUUUCAGCGAGGAAGAACGCCUAGUGGUUAAUACCCAUUAGGAAAGACAUCACUCGCAGAAGAAGCACCGGCUAACUCCGUGCCAGCAGCCGCGGUAAUACGGAGGGUGCAAGCGUUAAUCGGAAUUACUGGGCGUAAAGCGCGCGUAGGUGGCUUGAUAAGCCGG